rnacentral:rRNA from 1 species
UUGGAGGGCAAGUCUGGUGCCAGCAGCCGCGGUAAUUCCAGCUCCAAUAGCGUAUAUUAAAGUUGUUGCAGUUAAAAAGCUCGUAGUUGAACCUUGGGCCUGGCUGGCCGGUCCGCCUCACCGCGUGUACUGGUCCGGCCGGGCCUUUCCUUCUGGGGAACCUCAUGCCCUUCACUGGGCGUGUUGGGGAACCAGGACUUUACUUGAAAAAUUAGAGUGUUCAAAGCAGGCCUUGCUCGAAUACAUUAGCAUGGAAUAUAGAAUAGGACGUGCGGUU